GACGAACGCUGGCGGCGUGCUUAACACAUGCAAGUCGAACGGAAAGGCCCUGCUUGCAGGGUACUCGAGUGGCGAACGGGUGAGUAACACGUGGGUGAUCUGCCCUGCACUUCGGGAUAAGCUUGGGAAACUGGGUCUAAUACCGGAUAGGAGCCAUCUUUAGUGUGGUGGUUGGAAAGUUUUUUCGGUGUAGGAUGAGCUCGCGGCCUAUCAGCUUGUUGGUGGGGUAAUGGCCUACCAAGGCGGCGACGGGUAGCCGGCCUGAGAGGGUGUACGGCCACAUUGGGACUGAGAUACGGACCAGACUCCUACGGGAGGCAGCAGUGGGGAAUAUUGCACAAUGGGCGCAAGCCUGAUGCAGCGACGCCGCGUGGGGGAUGAAGGCCUUCGGGUUGUAAACUCCUUUCGCUAGGGACGAAGCUUUUUUGUGACGGUACCUAGAUAAGAAGCACCGGCUAACUACGUG
rnacentral:rRNA from 1 species